GCAGUAGCCGCGGGAAUACAGAGGGUGCGAGCGUUAAUCGGAUUUACUGGGCGUAAAGCGUGCGUAGGCGGCUUCUUAAGUCGGAUGUGAAAUCCCUGAGCUUAACUUAGGAAUUGCAUUCGAUACUGGGAAGCUAGAGUAUGGGAGAGGAUGGUAGAAUUCCAGGUGUAGCGGUGAAAUGCGUAGAGAUCUGGAGGAAUACCGAUGGCGAAGGCAGCCAUCUGGCCCAAUACUGACGCUGAGGUACGAAAGCAUGGGGAGCAAACAGGAUUAGAUACCCGAGUAGUCCCUGUCUCUUAUAC
rnacentral:rRNA from 1 species